rnacentral:antisense_RNA from 1 species
AACAGAAAGGUGGGCACGUGCCUAAAUGACUCACACAAAGAAGGCUAUGAGGAGCCUUGAGCAUUUGAGAUGGAGUGAGGCCAUGUGGAAGGGGCUGUGGAAGGUUCCAUCUAACAACUUGCUAGGCAGGUUGGGGCAGGAGGAAGUGCUCUGUGAGGGGGGCCUGGGAGAGAAUCAGGAGAACAGGGUACAACAGCUGGUGAGAGUUUUGCUUCUGAUAUAGACAAUGCCUGCAGAGCAAACCAUUACAGCUAAGAGAGAUCUUUAAGUGAAAGAAAAGGAGAAGGCUCCAUCUCAGCUUAUUAGGCUGGAGUGCAGUGGCGCGAUCUCGGCUCACUGCAAGCUCUGCCUCCCGGGUUCACGCCAUUCUCCUGCCUCAGCCUCCCGAGUAGCUGGGACUAGAGGCGCCCACCACCACAUCCGGCUAAUUGCUUUUAGCACUUUUUUGGGAGAGGAACAGAUGACAAUGCAUUGCCAGGCCUUCAAUACAAAAGGGGUGUGGCAACAGUAAAGCUUUCUACAUGUUAAACAGAAUGAACAAAACCAACGCAGAGCAGUGACUUUCUGUCAGAGAGAGCAGAAGGAGACCCUUAUAGAACAGCUGUUCCACUGCUCCAAAGGCCUCGUGUGGUUCUAUCCCUUGGACUGCCUUUCUUCAACAGCCCAGACACCUGCUCUGUCAGAUUUAUAAGCCACACCCCCUAGAACCAUGCCAAUCAAAGCAUGGC